UGGGGAAUUUUGGACAAUGGGGGAAACCCUGAUCCAGCCAUCCCGCGUGUGCGAUGAAGGCCUUCGGGUUGUAAAGCACUUUUGGCAGGAAAGAAACGUCGCGGGUUAAUACCCCGCGAAACUGACGGUACCUGCAGAAUAAGCACCGGCUAACUACGUGCCAGCAGCCGCGGUAAUACGUAGGGUGCAAGCGUUAAUCGGAAUUACUGGGCGUAAAGCGUGCGCAGGCGGUUCGGAAAGAAAGAUGUGAAAUCCCCAGAGCUUAACUUUGGAACUGCAUUUUUAACUACCGGGCUAGAGUGUGUCAGAGGGAGGUGGAAUUCCGCGUGUAGCAGUGAAAUGCGUAGAUAUGCGGAGGAACACCGAUGGCGAAGGCAGCCUCCUGGGAUAACACUGACGCUCAUGCACGAAAGCGUGGGGAGCAAACAGGAUUAGAUACCCUGGUAGUCCACGCCCUAAACGAUGUCAACUAGCUGUUGGGGCCUUCGGGCCUUGGUAGCGCAGCUAACGCGUGAAGUUGACCGCCUGGGGAGUACGGUCGCAAGAUUAAAACUCAAAUGAA
rnacentral:rRNA from 1 species